CAUGUAGGCGGCAUGACAAGUCUGGUGUGAAAUAUCUCGGCUCAACCGAGAAAACGCACUGGAAACUAUCAAGCUUGAGUAUCGGAGGGGAAGCUAGAAUUCCUGGUGUAGGGGUGAAAUCUGUAGAUAUCAGGAAGAAUACCGGUGGCGAAGGCGAGCUUCUGGCCAGAUACUGACGCUGAGAUGCGAAAGUGUGGGGAGCGAACAGGAUUAGAUACCCUGGUAGUCC
rnacentral:rRNA from 1 species